rnacentral:rRNA from 1 species
GAUGAACGCUGGCGGCGUGCCUAAUACAUGCCAGUCGAGCGAACAGACGAGGAGCUUGCUCCUCUGACGUUAGCGGCGGACGGGUGAGUAACACGUGGAUAACCUACCUAUAAGACUGGGAUAAUUUCGGGAAACCGGAGCUAAUACCGGAUAAUAUAUUGAACCGCAUGGUUCAAUAGUGAAAGACGGUUUUGCUGUCACUUAUAGAUGGAUCCGCGCCGCAUUAGCUAGUUGGUAAGGUAACGGCUUACCAAGGCAACGAUGCGUAGCCGACCUGAGAGGGUGAUCGGCCACACUGGAACUGAGACACGGUCCAGACUCCUACGGGAGGCAGCAGUAGGGAAUCUUCCGCAAUGGGCGAAAGCCUGACGGAGCAACGCCGCGUGAGUGAUGAAGGUCUUCGGAUCGUAAAACUCUGUUAUUAGGGAAGAACAAAUGUGUAAGUAACUAUGCACGUCUUGACGGUACCUAAUCAGAAAGCCACGGCUAACUACGUG